ACCUGGGAUCCGAACUGGUGAAUCCAGGGCUGCCGAAAUGGAAUGUGUGAACUUAACCACUGUGCCACUGGGCCAGCCCCCACUUUCUUUUUCUAUACAUGCUUAUUUGUCUCAAUGUAUUAUAAAAUGUGUAGUGUUGUUUAGGGUAUGUAUAGUGAAUAUAUAUAACAAGUAUUAUGCUAGAGACUAUAUUCUGUUUCUUGAUUUUUUUUCAUUCAACAUUAUAUUACAAGGUUUAUCCACAUUGCUGCAUAUAUUACAAGAUUUAUCCACAUUGUUGUAUGUUCAUUCACAUGGUUGCAUCUGGUGAAUACAUAGUAUUUCAGGAUAAUCAUCCACUGCAUUUGCCUAUCCACCUCCCUGGAUUGCCUUCAGUUCUCUACCACAAUAAAUGAUGAUGUGUGAGAAUUUGUUUGAGCUACAUACCUAGGAGUAGGAUUGCUGGGUCAUGGGGCAUACAUAUAUUUACUUUAACUAAUUAAGUAUUGCUCUGUGAAUAUUUUCACUAACUUUUCAGAACUAGUAAUUCUUGGUGUUAUUAGAGUUCAGCAGUUUUAUGUAUUGUAUCUCAUAAAUCACUGUUACUAAUUUUGUAAGUCAAUCAAGUCCAACCAACUGAGCACACACAUAUAACUAAUGUUACAUGUAAUUCACAUCUGUAAGGGGGUUUUUCACUAAUGAUUACCUAUAAGCGUAUGUUAUAAACUAUUGUUCUCAGGCAUUAUUUUAUGUUGCUAUAAAACCCAGUCAUAAAUGGAUAAACAAAAUGUAUAUUUAUUCAAUGGAAUAUUUUUCAGCAAUAAAAAGGAAUGAAUUAUUGAUGCAUGCUACAACUUGGAUGAACCUCAACAUCAUUAUGCUAAGUGUACGAAGCUAGUCACAAAAGCCCACAUUUUAUGAUACCAUGUCCAGAACAGGUCUGUGCAGUGCAGGAAGAGGAGAAAAAAUUGUGUUGCCAUGAUAUACUAUGGAGGACUUGAGGAAAAUAGGAUUUGUCAGUGAUUUGCAAGAUACUAAGAAGGUUUCCAAUCCAAUUAUCAUCCAUUGCAGCUGGAAGAAUUUAAUGGGAUAUGGUCCAAUGAAACACUCUCGUUGAGAAGUUCUUUACAUAGACUUUAGUGUCUUGAGAGUCAAUAUUUUGUAGUUAAGAAACAUUCUUCUGGAGCUUGACUGCCUGGGCUUGAGCCUCAUCACUUACUAGCCGUAUAUCUUUGACCAAGUUAUUUAAUUACCUUGUUUCACAGUUUUCUUAUCUGUAAAAUGAUGAAAAUCACACCUAACUUCCAGGUUUAAUGUAAUGAUCAAGUGAGUUAAACAUUUAAAGUUCUUAGAACAAUGCUUGGCUUUUAGAACGAGCUUAUUACACAUAAUCUAUUAUUGUUUUAAAAUUAGUUUUCUACUUACACUUAGAUUUUUAUAAUUUUUAAAAUUAAUUUCCGAAUCUAUUAUAGCUUGAAUGCUCUGUGUUCAAGACUGGGUCUUAAUGGAAGGUUAAAGUUAUCAGGAAUCCUGACUUUGAAAAAAGAAAGUCAAAGUGAACUCAGUUCAAUUUGAUUAAUAUUUAUCAAUCAUAAAUGUUAAGUAGCAUAAGGUGGUUUAUAAAAUAUGGAAAUCAUGGCUUCUACCCUUUUACUAAACUACUUGAGAGUAGAGGACAUGCUAUAUGCUGCCUCUCUUGUAAACUGACUUGUGUGUCGUAUAAUUCAAAUAUUUGUUCAAUGAAAGUCACAUCAACAACGAAUCCUAAUAUAUUGUUGGUACAAAUUAGACACUUGAUAAAUACAACUUGAGUGAAAGGAUAUUUAUUUAUGUUUCUGUGUGUAUAUGAAAAUAAGUGUUCAUUAUUUUCAGGAGUGUGUAAUUAAAUUAAGUAGAAGACUUUUAGCUUAGAUAUAAUUAGAAGCAUCCUGACUAUAGGGUUGGGAAACAUUCUAGUCCUUUACUAAGAGAAAUAACAGAAUCUAUAUAAUUAUAAAGAAUAGGUUAUCAGUUGAUAUUUAAUUCUUUAUUUGCUAUAGAAGAAUAUUUAGAUCUUUCUUGAGAGACCAUCAAGCCAUUUUACCCUGUAAUUCUCAAAUUUAUUACAUAAAUUUGUACAUUCUUGUGAAAGAAGAAGCAAGAAGACCUUAGAAUAAAAAGAUUUAACAGCCAAGUUUACCUUUUCUGCAUGUCAUCCCUCCCUCUUUUGGGGGAAAGCAACCAGGGAAAUGAAAGAAAUCACUUCCAAUAACUCUACCCUUUUUUUGCUUUAGUGGUAAAUAUGUUCCGGGAGAUCGGGCUCAUAAGAAAAAAUAUUUUGGCUGACGCAGCCUCCCUAUCCUUACUUUCAUGAUCUUGACUAUUAUUGGAGCAGAAGUCCUCAGGUGAAAUGCUCCCCCCCCCCCCCCGCCCCGCCCCCGACUCUUUUCUGGGAGAUCAGUAAUCAGUUAUCCUCUUUUCCUAUUUUAAGACUCCUCUUUCUCCAGCCCAAGUAUGUUUUAUACAGAGCUAGUGUCUGGGAUACUAACUCUAACUCAUUCAAGCAGGCUUCUAUGCUGUUUUAUUAAAAUAGAUUCUAUUUAAAAUGAUUAGGGAAGUAUAGAAUUCAUAAGACAAUUAUUGCUUAGGUUGCAGCUAAUGUUCACAUUGAUCAGCAUUCAUCAUAAAGACGGUUGAGUAGAAUUUAUGUUUGUAUGUAUGUGUGAGUGUUUUGAGAAGGUAGUACGCUCGUAUAAUUCCAAGUUCAAGAUGUCUGAAAGAGUAUAUACUAUGAAGUCUCCUUCCCAUCCCUGGCCUUCAUCACCUUAGUUCCCCUCCCUGGAGGCAACUGCAAUGACCAGUUUCUUUUGUAUCCUUCCAGGGUACAAACAAAUUGCAUUUUCUGCAUACAAACAAAAACAUAUAUGGUUGGAUGUAUUUUGGGAUACUUAAAACAUGGAGAUGACUUUCCUUUUGUAAGUCUAUCUCUUUCUGGAAGACCAAGAGAUGAAAACUUAAGGAAGGACAAGAGCUCUUUCUGAAAGUACCAACUUGCUUUAAGUCAUAUUUCUUAGAAGUGCCCAGUAUAUAAGAAUCUUUGAAAAUAGAGAUAAAUAAGGAGAGGAAACAGAGAUGGAUUAGAAAGUCUCAGUAAUUGUUUUCCUCUUGAAAAUUCUCUUCUCAAGACAGAAAUUACAGAUUUUACAAAGUUGAGACAGUUAGUUCCUCUGUGACUUGCUGAAAGAUAACAUGGUCUCUCUGAAAGCUAACAGUGAACCCAAGAUUCCCUUGAAAGCGUGGAGCAGCAUGCACAAGGGUAUAAAAAGGAGCAUGCCCAGUUUUGGAGUCAGAUUUAUCUGAAUUUGGAGACCAGCAUGAGGACCUAAUAGCUUUGUGACUUUUAACCAGUGCCUGAGUCACCUCCUGAGACUCAGUAAAUUGGAAGUAAUCAAACCAAACCUUGUGGUAUCUUGCAGAGGAUUAAAUUAGAUAAUGUAAGUGAAAUAAUGUCUGACACAAAGUAGGAUACUCAAUAAAUGUUAGCUUUUUUCUUUGCCAGUUCACCAUUAUAUUUAAGAUGAAAAGGUCUGCUCUCCACAGAUUGUGGUGUUUAGUCUUACUGUGUUUCUUAUAAUUGAAAACAGCGUUUAGAAAGAAGUUUUUAGAUAUUCAUCUUGCAAAUGUCCAAAUUUUUUUUAACCUAACAACCAGCUUUUGUGUAGUGCUUUAACAGUUAACAAAGUUAACUUUCUAUUCUGUAAUCUCUCUCUGAGGGAGAUGAGAGAAAUGGAUGAAAGGAGAUUGUAGAUGAAGACAUCUAUAGCAAUAUUUGAUAGAUUAAAUUAUUUAGAAUGUUUGUUCUCUUUCUUUUCAACCCAGUUGGAGUUAUAUAGGGUUUCCAAAGGCCAUAGUGGUGGACAUAAAGAAGAAGACUAAUGGGGGUACAAAGACUUUCAGAUUAGACUUAACUUCCCAAAUAUAACAUUAAGACAAAUAGUGAGAAAAAAAAAUCUCUGAAUUUUAAGUGACAGAUAAACAAAAACACCAACUUUUUGACUUUUAGUUACACUAACUCACUGUGGGAUCUGGGCUAGUCAUUUCACCUUUGUAGUCCUUAGAUUUCUUCUAAAAAACAAACAAACAAAAAAGAUUUGGGAAUAGUACCCUUUACAGAUCCCCUCAGAAUUAUAGCUGUAAGCACUACGUAAAUUCAUAAAAAAUAGUUUUGAAGACCAGCUUUAAAAUUUCAAUAGUUAUUGUAUAUUCAAAACAGCUGCAGAAGCACUUUAUUUUCAUUUUAAAGAUUUAUAAUUAAAGUGAUUUUAUGUGUACCUCAAAUGCCUGAUUAUAUACAAACCCGUUAACAGGGUUUAUGCACACAUUAAAUCCCUUCUUAUUAUGGGGUUUUGUGCACCUUAAAUGCCUGGUUGUUAUAGAUUGUUGUUUUUCUUGUUACCAUUAAAUGUAACAUUUCCCUAGGUGAUGAAAUGUAUUAUUAUUGGGAACAUUUAUUUUAGUGUGUGUUCUGUAUUUUAAAAGAGAAAGGUAUUUAAACAGCAAAGACGUAGCUGUUAUGAAAUUUAUUUUUUAUAAAUAGCUUUCAGCAGAAAUCAGAGCAGUACUUUAAAAUUACAGUUAAAAAAAGAAUUUAAUCAUCACACUCCUUGUUGGCUAAUAGGUUACUAAGUGACUUUUUUUUUUUCCUGCAAUAGGCUAUUCUUGAUCUGCUCACUAAGUGGACCUAAGAGUACUAGUAUAUUUUAUGUUAGCAAGCCUUGAUAGCAAAGUGCUGAAAGUUCAGGGGGCAUUUGUCUCCUUUCUCACAAAUUCAUUUAAGUACCAGUCUUGCUGGAGCUCUAACUGGGGCAGACAACCAUACAAAUGACUUGAGAUAAAAUGAAAAUAAUGGACUGAGCUGGGUUCUGGGAUGGUAGUUAUGCUGAACACACAUCAAUGAGCUUUGAGUGUGAUUCUAUGCUAAUGCAAGCCUGAUGGAUCAGCUUUCUCUUUUAGCCUGGAGGACCAUUAAGCUCUGGAAGCUAGGUCAAACUGAUAGAGUCUGCAAAUAUAGCCCAUCGGUUAGCAGCAGUAGUUAACUGACUGUGAUUUCUAAUGUGCGAAACUAACAUUGCUUAAAAACCCUCUGUGAUCAGGACAUAGAUCAGGAGGAAGGUAAUAGAUUCUGUUUUAAUUUGCAUAAUCAAAGCUUCUCAUUUUUCCAGCUAUAGAUAAUGUAAGAGGGGAAAAAAGUGAGCUGUGAUUGCUUCCAUUAUGUUGUUGAUCUUGAAUCACAGCAAAUAAUUUCCAUAAAAAUGUAAAUAACUUGUUUCAAAAGAAGAGUAUAAUUGAAAGAUUUUCUGUGUUAUUUCUUUGGAAUUAAACUGUAGGCACAGUUAUGCAGGUUAGAUAAUGAGGAUCUUGGGACUAUGAAAUGUAAAAAAGUUUUUAAAAAAAUUGUGAGUCUUUUUUAGUGAUUUGCUUCAAACAUUAAAACUUUCCUGCCUGUGAUAAAUCAGGGUUCUUUUAAGGUGUGAGCUUUGAAAUAGAUGUAAAUUAACACUAUGACCAAAAUGACAGAGAACUUGAUCAUUUCUGUUUCUCUCAAAGAAGAGAAAAUGAAGUAAUUUGUUUCAUAGCAAAAAUUAAAAUGAAUGACACCAGAAUGGAAAGAAUCCAGAGACAUUGUUUACUUUUAUGGAGCACAAAUGCUAAGAGGACUCUAGUAUUAUAAAGAAGGGGGGUCUUUUACUCACUUACACUACCCUAUUCCUUUUACUCUUCCCUUUUUCUGUCUAAAUAUACUGCAACUGGAGAGCAGUCCUGGUUUUGACUAAUGAUUAUUUUCAUAUAUAAUAUUUAAAGUUCUAUACUUUUUGCUUGAGGAUAUUUGCAUUGCAAACUUGCCAAAAACAUUUACUUCAAAUUCUCUUAAGUUCACAUUUUUGUGAUGUGGGAACUCUUUUUGUUCAUUCAUUUAAAAAUAUUUAUUGAGCGCUCAUUAUUUCAGGCAUUGUCUUCGGCACUUGUGGUGUGGUUGUCCUCUUGGAGCUUACUUGUUUUUUUUUUUAAACAGAGGAAGCACAAUAAACAAGUAAAGACAUAAUUUCAGAGAGUGAUAGGUUCUUAAGGGGAACCUUUUUUAUCUGGGAGUCUACUCUGACCAUGUUUCUGCCAAAUAGACUGAGAUAUCAAAUAUGCUGUUUUUUCAACCCCAGGUUUCCAGACUGUCUCAAAAAUUUUUGAAUGUAAAGAAAAUAAGUACAUUUUUGUUAAAGAAAAAUUAAGUGCUUUCGUGUACCUUGUAAUCCAGACUGAUAUCUCUAUAAAAAAACCUACUAAAAUUCUAUAUGUAUGAAUUUUUUUCUGAGUGCUUGUAUAUAUAUGUCUUCUAAGCAUUUUACUCAUUUAUUAACUUAUUUUAAAAAGUCUAAGAGGAGGUAUUAUUAUUAUUUCCAGGUGAGGAAACUGAGGGAAAAAACGUUGAAUAGCUUGCCCAAAAUUACAUGGCUAAUAAAUAGGUGAGGUGGGAUUAAAACCUAGACAGUUUGGGUCCAGAGUCAGUGUUCUUAGUCACUAUUACUCUGUGGCAACCUGAAGAAAUUUGUUUAGCUGAAAUUGUGUUGCUAUAUUAAAAUGCAAGUUCUAGCAUGGCAGGGAAUGUGUCUAUCUUGUUCAUCUCUAUCCUUGCACUUAGUGCUGAACCUGGGCUAUGGAGGGUGCCCAACAAAUAUUUGUUGAAUGAAUGGAUGUAAAUGAGUAUUAUAUGCUUAUAGGCAAAGUAAUAUUCUGUAUCAAAUUCUUUUAAAAAUUUCUUUUGCUACUUCUGCUUUGCUGGUGCCCUAAGUAUGUGCCUUGUGUGUAUAAUCCAGCACCAGUUAGAAUGGCAAUAUGAUUAGCUCCUAAUGAUGAGGUGAGGGGAGACCCAGAAUUCCAUGGCCUUGCUUAGUUCCAGACCCUGUCUACCCUAGGUAUGUGAGAUUUCUUAGUGGAUCACGUCACUAAGUGAUCACAUCAGAAUGAGCUCAUAUUAUAUCCUUUCAGAAUACCUCCUACUCUUGUGUUCUGAAAGGGUUAAUUCAUUUUCAAAAUAUGAGCAGUUUUCUUCUGAAAGUGAGUUUACUUAUAACAGGUAGAAUGUAAUCUGGCUUCCAUAAUGUUUGGAAUAAAAUGGAAUAGCAGAAGCUUGCAUAUCUCCACUUCCUAUUUUGUUUCCUUUCUUGCUGUGUCUUUGGAGAAGACAAUAAUAUUGUUUUAUAAGUUUCAAAUUGGUAUUAAAUGAUUGAGUGAAUGGAGGGUUUCUCAUAUUCCAAGGUUUCUUUUAGAAGAUAAAAAUAAAACAAAAACAUUAAAAAAAUAUAUACAUACACACUCAUGUUGAGUUUUGAACAGUAAAGGAUAAAUAAUAAAAAUAAAUCAUAUUCUCAUCACUCAAAAUAAUUAAUAUUCCUAUCAUUUAAAGCUAUUAAUUCUCUGUUAACAUUUUGGUAAUUAUCCUUUCAUAUAACUCUGUAUGUAUAUUUAGGCACUUAUGUAAAUUUUAAAUGAAUGAGUUUAUAUUUUGCAUAUUAUUGGAUAACCUGCAUUUUUGCAUAUUAUUUUAAUAAUAGGUCUUGGAUAUUUUUCAUGGCAAUGAACAUUAUGUGAACAUCAUUAUUAUUUUUAAUGACUUAACAUUCUGUUGUUUGGAUUUAUCAUUCUUUAGUUGGCCUCCUAAUAAUAGACCUAAAUUCCUUUCUUCCUUUUAUUUUUGGUGUUGCAAAGAAAAUUGCAGUGAAUACACACACACACACAGAAAUUGUUGCUGGAUCAAAGCCUGCAGUACCACAAACCUCUUUCCUUCUCUCUUUCUCUGUUUCUUUUUUUCCAAACUUUUCUUUCCUUCUUUCUAGGCUGCUUGAUAGGCGGUGUUAUUCUCCUCUGCCAGGAAGCGCACAAUGUCUGGUUGAAAGUCUUAUUGUAAUAUCACGUCCUUGAUCAAUGCCACCAGUCUCUAUGUCAUGUCUUUCCAGUCAUUUGAGUUGUUAUUUUAGUUCCUGGAUUUGCAUAAUAAACUACUUCAGAACUUAA